rnacentral:rRNA from 1 species
AGCAGCCGCGGUAAUUCCAGCUCCAAUAGCGUAUAUUAAAGUUGUUGCAGUUAAAAAGCUCGUAGUUGAAUUUCGGGAUUGACACAUCGGUCGUGCCUUAAGGGGUAUGAACUGGUGUAGUCAAUUUCUCACCCUCUGGAGAACCGCGAUGUCCUUAAUUGGAUGCCGCGGGGAACCAGGACCUUUACUUUGAAAAAUUAGAGUGUUUAAAGCAGGCAUUUUUGCUUGAAUACAUUAGCAUGGAAUAAUAAAAUAGGACGGCAUGGUUCUAUUUUGUUGGUUUCUAGGACCACCGUAAUGAUUAAUAGGGAUAGUUGGGGCAUUAGUAUUCAAUUGCCAGAGGUGAAAUUCUUGGAUUUAUUGAAGACUAACUACUGCGAAAGCAUUUGCCAAGGAUGUUUUCAUUAGUCAAGAA